UACGUAGGGUGCAAGCGUUAAUCGGAAUUACUGGGCGUAAAGCGUGCGCAGGCGGUUGUGUAAGACAGAUGUGAAAUGCCCGGGCUUAACCUGGGAACUGCAUUUGUGACUGCACGGCUAGAGUUUGGCAGAGGGGGGUAGAAUUCCACGUGUAGCAGUGAAAUGCGUAGAUAUGUGGAGGAAUACCGAUGGCGAAGGCAGCCCCCUGGGUCAAGACUGACGCUCAUGCACGAAAGCGUGGGGAGCAAAC
rnacentral:rRNA from 1 species